UUGGAUGUGACGAUAUCAUUAAUCUUGAGACGCAUCUAUGAUGUUCAUGUAUUCAUACUGUCUGAUCCAA